AUUGAACGCUGGCGGCAGGCCUAACACAUGCAAGUCGAGCGGAUGAAGGGAGCUUGCUCCUGGAUUCAGCGGCGGACGGGUGAGUAAUGCCUAGGAAUCUGCCUGGUAGUGGGGAAUAACGUCCGGAAACGGGCGCUAAUACCGCAUACGUCCUGAGGGAGAAAGUGGGGGAUCUUCGGACCUCACGCUAUCAGAUGAGCCUAGGUCGGAUUAGCUAGUUGGUGGGGUAAAGGCCUACCAAGGCGACGAUCCGUAACUGGUCUGAGAGGAUGAUCAGUCACACUGGAACUGAGACACGGUCCAGACUCCUGCGGGAGGCAGCAGUGGGGAAUAUUGGACAAUGGGCGAAAGCCUGAUCCAGCCAUGCCGCGUGUGUGAAGAAGGUCUUCGGAUUGUAAAGCACUUUAAGUUGGGAGGAAGGGCAGUAAGUUAAUACCUUGCUGUUUUGACGUUACCAACAGAAUAAGCACCGGCUAACUUCGUG
rnacentral:rRNA from 1 species